ACUCAGGUAGCUUAAUUAAGAGCAGGAUAUUGAAGAUAUCCCGGUGAUUUUUUGUCCUU
rnacentral:tRNA from 1 species